AUUGUGAUGGCAAAAGAACCUUCAUUUUCAGAAGAAGACACACAGCGAGGGAAAUCUCUUCCCUUCAAGUUCUGCAUGUUUCCCAACAGCAUCUGUUGGCCAUGAUGGGGGAAAGGUGUUGGACUAGAACACUUGCUUCAAACUUCCUCCUCCUUUGAACUGAAGAACCCUCACAUUUACCAGCUUAUCAUCCGUCCAGGGUCCUGAUGAUGAAGGAUUGUGGGCAGGCAAUGGUCAGGAAGAAGAAGGGAAGCGGCAUCGAACUCUGUCCACAUCGCGGUGGGCAGACCUGCCUCCUUAAUGCUGUACUACCCUUUGUACAAGAAGCCC